rnacentral:lncRNA from 1 species
AAAGGGAAUUAAAAAACAUAUGAUGUUUAUAUUAACAUACAUAUAUAAUUUGCAUAUUUAAAAAUAAAUUAUAAACAAUAUGGAGUUUAUGGUUUUGCACAUAAUUUUUUAAUGCAUUUGUUUAUUUAAACAUUUUUGGUGGUGGUGGUUGCUAAAUAUAUAAUUAAAAAAUUUUAGGGCAAUUUACUUCAAUGCUUUCUUUUCACAGAUAAGGAAAUUGAAAUUGGGACUUGCUCAAGGUCACAGAAGGAUUAGAAGGAAAAAAAGAGAAAAGCAGCCUCUGGUGCCACCUGCUGGUAGUUGCCUCCUGCGAGAAUUCCAUGUAUUUUUAGAAAAUAGCACCAUGAAUGUUACAAUGCACUUCCCUGCCUUUGAAGCCAGAUUGUCAAGUCAAUGCCAAUGUGAUCAGCAAAGGAACCAUAGGCUGGUAGGCAAGAGAAGUGAAAGACUUGAGAAUCCAUCAGCUGCAUAAUCUGGCUCUGAAGCAUUGAGAGGUU